rnacentral:rRNA from 1 species
UUGAGCUGAUAUACUACCCUGAACGCACCCGAUCUCAUCUGAUCUUGGAAGCUAAUAAGCAGGGUAGAGCCUGGUUAGUACUUGGAUGGGAUUAGCUUUUUAGAAAUCAUCAGAAUGUUCAAG